rnacentral:rRNA from 1 species
UACGUAGGCAGCGAGCGUUGUUCGGAGUUACUGGGCGUAAACGGUGUGUAGGCGGUUGUUUAAGUUUGGUGUUAAAUCUCCCGGCUCAACUGGGAGGGUGCGCCGAAUACUGAAUGACUUGGAGUGCGGGAGAGGAGAGUGGAAUUCCUGGUGUAGCGGUGAAAUGCGUAGAUAUCAGGAGGAACACCGGUGGUGUAGACGGCUCUCUGGACCGUAACUGACGCUGAGGAGCGAAAGCGUGGGGAGCGAACAGG